GAAGCGAGAGUGACGGUACCUGCAGAAGAAGCACCGGCCAACUACGUGCCAGCAGCCGCGGUAAUACGUAGGGUGCAAGCGUUGUCCGGAAUUAUUGGGCGUAAAGAGCUCGUAGGCGGUUUGUUGCGUCGGCUGUGAAAUCCUGAGGCUCAACCUCAGGCCGGCAGUCGAUACGAGCAGACUAGAGUGUUGCAAGGGAGACUGGAAUUCCUGGUGUAGCGGUGAAAUGCGCAGAUAUCAGGAGGAACACCGGUGGCGAAGGCGGGUCUCUGGGCAACAACUGACGCUGAGGAGCGAAAGCGUGGGGAGCGAACAGGAUUAGAUACCCUGGUAGUCCACGCCGUAAACGUUGGGCGCUAGGUGUGGGGCUCAUUCCACGAGUUCCGUGCCGCAGCUAACGCAUUAAGCGCCCCGCCUGGGGAGUACGGCCGCAAGGCUAAAACUCAAAGGAACUGACGGGGGCCCGCACAAGCGGCGGAGCAUGUUGCUUAAUUCGAUGCAACGCGAAGAACCUUACCUAGGCUUGACAUGCACGGAAAUCCUCCAGAGAUGGGGGGUCCGUAAGGGCCGUGCACAGGUGGUGCAUGGUUGUCGUCAGCUCGUGUCGUGAGAUGUUGGGUUAAGUCCCGCAACGAGCGCAACCCUCGUUCCAUGUUGCCAGCACGUAAUGGUGGGGACUCAUGGGAGACUGCCGGGGUCAACUCGGAGGAAGGUGGGGAUGACGUCAAAUCAUCAUGCCCCUUAUGUCUAGGGCUGCAAACAUGCUACAAUGGCCGGUACAAAGGGCUGCGAUACCGUGAGGUGGAGCGAAUCCCAAAAAGCCGGUCUCAGUUCGGAUUGGGGUCUGCAACUCGACCCCAUGAAGUUGGAGUCGCUAGUAAUCGCAGAUCAGCAACGCUGCGGUGAAUACGUUCCCGGGCCUUGUACACACCGCCCGUCAUC
rnacentral:rRNA from 1 species